rnacentral:lncRNA from 1 species
UUGGUUUUGGACUUGUGAAUCAUAGGCUAAUAAGUGUAGAUUGUAUAGAUUGAAAACAUGUAACUUUUGUAAUCAAAAUCAAAUUGUGCCUAAGUUGGAGAUGGGUGUAAAUAUAUGUAAAUGGCAACAUAGGCUAAUAAGUGUAGAUUGUAUAGAUUGAAAACAUGUAACUUUUGUAAUCAAAAUCAAAUUGUGCCUAAGUUGGAGAUGGGUGUAAAUAUAUGUAAAUGGCAUUGGAAAUUUGGAAAUUGAAUGUUUUUGUAUGAAUGUUAAUCGUUGAAUAGAAAUUUAGAACUUGAAUAAUGGUUUGUAAAUGAAAAAUGGAAAUUGUAUGGAAAUAUGUAUGUAUGGUUUAUGUAAUCUUGGAAUGUGUAAU